rnacentral:rRNA from 1 species
CCUAGAGGGAGAGCACUAGCGGGAAUGGAAUCCCGUGGCAAGCGAGGUAGGAGUCGCGUUGGCAAAUCCGCGUGACAAUCCGAAGACGUGAUGCAUACCGAACAAAAGUAGGGAAAUGUGUGAGCCAGCUGCCAAGAAAAGCCGCUAUUGUUUGUACUGUACCCGUACCGUAAACCGACACAGGUAGGUGAGGAGAGAAUCCUAAGGCCGACGGGAGAAGCAUUGUUAAGGAACUCGGCAAAAUGACUCCGUAACUUCGGGAGAAGGAGUGCCAGUGAGAGCUGGCCGCAGAGAAUUGGCCCAAGCAACUGUUUAGCAAAAACACAGGUCUAUGCAAAACCGUAAGGUGAAGUAUAUGGGCUGACGCCUGCCCGGUGCUGGAAGGUUAAGGGGAGAGGUUAGCGCAAGCGAAGCUUUGAACUUAAGCCCCAGUAAACGGCGGCCGUAACAAUAACGGUCCUAAGGUAGCGAAAUUCCUUGUCGGGUAAGUUCCGACCCGCACGAAAGGCGUAAUGAUUUGGGCACUGUCUCAACAAUGCACCCGGUGAAAUUGAAAUACCAGUGAAGAUGCUGGUUACCUGCGCCAGGACGGAAAGACCCCAUGGAGCUUUACUCCAGCUUGAUACUGGGAUUCGAUAUUGUAUGUACAGGAUAGGUGGGAGGCGAAGAAGCAUUGACGCCAGUUGAUGCGGAGCCGCUGUUGGGAUACCACCCUUGCAGUAUUGUAUUUCUAACCAGCAGCCGUGACCCGGCUGGGGGACAAUGUCAGGUGGGGAGUUUGACUGGGGCGGUCGCCUCCGAAAGGGUAUCGGAGGCGCUCAAAGGUUCCCUCAGAAUGGUUGGAAACCAUUCGAAGAGUGCAAAGGCAGAAGGGAGCUUGACUGCGACACCGACGGGUGGAGCAGGUACGAAAGUAGGACUUAGUGAUCCGGUGGUAUAAAGUGGGAUUGCCAUCGCUCAACGGAUAAAAGCUACCCUGGGAUAACAGGCUUAUCACUCCCAAGAGUUCACAUCGACGGAGUGGUUUGGCACCUCGAUGUCGGCUCAUCGCAUCCUGGGGCUGAAGUAGGUCCCAAGGGUUGGGCUGUUCGCCCAUUAAAGCGGUACGCGAGCUGGGUUCAGAACGUCGUGAGACAGUUCGGUCCCUAUCCGGCGUGGGCGUAGGAUAUUUGAGAGGAGCUGGCCUUAGUACGAGAGGACCGGGCUGGACUGACCGCUGGUGUAUCUGUUGUUCCGCCAGGAGCAUGGCAGAGUAGCCAAGUCAGGAAGGGAUAAACGCUGAAGGCAUCUAAGCGUGAAGCCCCCCUCAAGAUGAGAUAUCCCAACGCAAGUUGUAAGACCCCUUGAAGACGACAAGGUAGAUAGGGCAGAGGUGGAAGUGCAGUAAUGCAUGGAGCUGACUGUUACUAAUCGGUCGAGGGCAUAACC